rnacentral:tRNA from 1 species
GCGCGCGUAGCUCAAUUGGCAGAGCGGUCGCCUUAUACGCGAUUGGUUCCAGGUUCAAGUCCUGGCGCGCGCA